AUAAUUGAUUAAGCUAACAUUUUUGGUUAAAAAUUAGUUGAGCAACAAAUUCCAGAUACAAAUCUUGAUGUGAUGGUCUUAUAUAGCAAAGAAGAUUGUACCGAAACAGAAUAGAUCUUCUAUCCUAAACCAGAUAAGUUCAGGACUGGAGAACUUUGUGCUUACUUGCAACCAGUCUGGACAAAGGACCUCAUAAAUUCUUUGGCACCAUUAAGUAACAAAUUUUCUCUUUUCUAUAAGCUCACUCACAAGUCUCUAGCAUGACUAGUUGUUGACUGACAAAGAAGACAACUACAUAAGCUGAGCAACAAAUUGCAGAUACCAAACUUGAUGUGCUGGUCCUAGCUGAACUCAGAUUUGACUCGAAUGAUUGUGACCAUACAGAGCACUGCUCAUUGCAGAUGGUAGAAUCAAGUGUAUAAAAUCAGGGCAUGUUCUUUCUCAAAAACACUGCAGUCCAUAGUUCUGAAGACAAUUAAAGCUAAAGUGCCAUCCUUCUGUUUCUAGAUGAUGUCUAGAGAGAAUUCACAAGAAUUACUUAAAGUUUUGGUCCACCCAUUUAUAGUCAGCAACCUUGACGGUAUUUUGUGUGUAACUGGUGACAGCAGAUACUAUAUCUAGUGAUGUAUUGAUCCUGGCCAAAAAGGCCAACAAAGGAUUACGAGUCUCCAUGCUUCAUUCAAUUUAUUUUCCUGUAAACAGUGCAAGAGAGUGUAAACAGCUAGGGGUAACAGACGCUACGCGCCUCUACUAAACACUUUUACUGUAAACCGCCAUGGAAUUUCGAACCGCCAUGGAAUUUCGAACCCGAUUUCCAAAACUGUGCAAACAUAGUUUUAGGAUUUUAUCUUGGGGGAUUGAUAAAACGUACUGCUGAGAUCAGACCAAGCAGAGCUUGAGGGUGCAAAGAGAAGAGCUUGAGGGUGGAGGUAUAUAUAUCUGCUAAUGACUUUUUUCUCACUUAAUGUUGCGGUUAGGGUUUUGGCAUGAGUAAUCCAAUAUUGUUAAAGGUACGAUCCUACUUCUUUCGUCAGUCUUUGUUUAAGUAUAAUUGCUUGUUUCCUUGGUCACAUUGCCUCUGAAUUUGUUGUUUACUUGUUUUUGCUUUGCUUCCUUGAUUUCUUUUGUGCUUGGUUUGAUUCUUACUUGCUCCUUUGAUUCGUUGUUUCUUUUACUUGCUUGCUUCUUUGAUUUAAGUUUUUUCUUUUGCUUGCUUGCUUCUUUAC